rnacentral:rRNA from 1 species
CAACCCUUCCCCCCUAUUGAAUGAAUUUAUUAAUUUAUAAAAGCCACUAUGCCUAAACUAGUAACAAGAAUAUGAAAUUCUCCUUAAUGUAAGCCUAAGCCGUAAUGGACACCCCAACGGCAAUUAAAGUUAAUAAACCCAUUAUAAUAACCACUACGAAAAACUUAUAAUAGUAAACGUUAACCUAACACAAGAACAUUCUAGGAAAGAUUAAAAGGGGGAGAAGGAACUCGGCAAAUCUUAAUCCCGCCUGUUUACCAAAAACAUCGCCUCUUGUUAAAUUAUAAGAGGUCUAGCCUGCCCAAUGACUUCUUAAAUGGCCGCGGUAUCCUAACCGUGCUAAGGUAGCACAAUAACUUGUUCUUUAAAUGAGGACUUGUAUGAAUGGCAUCACGAGGAUUACACUGUCUCCUCCCCCCAAUCAGUAAAACUGACCCCCCUGUGAAAAGGCAGGGAUUAUAUCAUAAGACGAGAAGACCCCAUGGAGCUUCAGACUAAGAGCACAUCUAACCCCCACUCCAUUAAAACCCCAGAUCCCUGACUCCCAAUCUUAGGUUGGGGCGACCAUGGAGUAUAAUUUAACCUCCAUGCUGAACGGACAAAUCCUAAUCUAAGAGUCACAACUCUAAGAAUCAAAAAACUGACAGCUACUGAUCCGAAAUUCGAUCAACGAACCAAGUUACCCUGGGGAUAACAGCGCCAUCUACCUUGAGAGUUCAUAUCGACAGGUGGGUUUACGACCUCGAUGUUGGAUCAGGGUAUCCCUGUGGUGCAGCCGCUACAUAAACCC